rnacentral:lncRNA from 1 species
GUAAUUCUAGUGCAUAUAAGUUGCAUCUACAUUUUAGCUAUUGGAAACAUUAUAGCUUGGUUGAAAUUAGUCAGUAGUCUGGUAUCUUGUCAGGCAUUCUAUUCUCCUUGGUUUUUAGUUAAGUAGUUUAUGAUGUUUUCCAUAUCUAUGUCUUUAAAUUGCAUUAAAUCAAUAUUUUGUAAAUAAUCAAAUUCAUAGUAUGGAACAUCAUAAUAUUUGCAAAUAUUUU